GAGGGUGUAGCUCAGUGGUAGAGCGAGCACUUAGCAUGCAUGAGGUCCUGGGUUCAACCCCGAGUACCCCCA
rfam:Camelus ferus unplaced genomic scaffold scaffold1408, whole genome shotgun sequence.